GACGAACGCUGGCGGCGUGCUUAACACAUGCAAGUCGAACGAAGAGCGAUGGAAGCUUGCUUCUCUCAAUCUUAGUGGCGAACGGGUGAGUAACGCGUAAUCAACCUGCCCUUCAGAGGGGGACAACAGUUGGAAACGACUGCUAAUACCGCAUACGAUCUAACCUCGGCAUCGAGGAUAGAUGAAAGGUGGCCUCUACAUGUAAGCUAUCACUGAAGGAGGGGAUUGCGUCUGAUUAGCUAGUUGGAGGGGUAACGGCCCACCAAGGCGAUGAUCAGUAGCCGGUCUGAGAGGAUGAACGGCCACAUUGGGACUGAGACACGGCCCAGACUCCUACGGGAGGCAGCAGUGGAGAAUCUUCCGCAAUGGACGAAAGUCUGACGGAGCAACGCCGCGUGAGUGAUGACGGCCGUCGGGUUGUAAAGCUCUGUUAAUCGGGACGAAAGGCCUUCUUGCGAAUAGUGAGAAGGAUUGACGGUACCGGAAUAGAAAGCCACGGCUAACUACGUG
rnacentral:rRNA from 1 species